rnacentral:rRNA from 1 species
ACAGGGAUUGCCUCAGUAACGGCGAGUGAAGCGGCAACAGCUCAAAUUUGAAAUCUGGCUCCUUCGGGGUCCGAGUUGUAAUUUGUAGAAGAUGCUUUGAGUGUGGUUCCGGUCUAAGUUCCUUGGAACAGGACGUCAUAGAGGGUGAGAAUCCCGUAUGUGACUGGGUGCCUUCGCUCGUGUAAAGCUCUUUCGACGAGUCGAGUUGUUUGGGAAUGCAGCUCAAAAUGGGUGGUAAAUUUCAUCUAAAGCUAAAUAUUGGCCAGAGACCGAUAGCGCACAAGUAGAGUGAUCGAAAGAUGAAAAGCACUUUGGAAAGAGAGUUAAACAGUACGUGAAAUUGUUGAAAGGGAAGCGCUUGCAACCAGACUUGCGCGCUGUUGAUCAUCCGAGGUUCUCCCCGGUGCACUCGGCAGCGCUCAGGCCAGCAUCGGUUUUGGUGGGCGGAUAAAGGCCUUGGGAACGUAGCUCCUUUCGGGGAGUGUUAUAGCCCUCGGUGCAAUGCGCCCUACCGGGACCGAGGACCGCGCUUCGGCUAGGAUGCUGGCGUAAUGGUUGUAAGCGA